GGGGUUGUGCCUCAAUGGUAGAGCACUUGCCUGGCAUGUGAGGCCCUGGGUUUGAUCCCCAGCACAUGACUUCU
rnacentral:tRNA from 1 species